rnacentral:snRNA from 1 species
GUUCUCCCAUUCGGUGAGCACAUAUACUAAAAAAUUGGAAUGAUAAAGAGAAGAUUAGAAUGGCCCCUGAGCUUUACUUCUAAUGACCAAUUAUUUCAGAUUUCU